GUGAGGUCUAGACUUCCUGAAAAUCCUAAAAUUUGUGGCCACUUCAGAUGUCUGACCACAAGACCACCUUUGGAUAAAUCCUGUGGUCCCCAGAAGCCCACAUAUUAAAUAGAGCUACAAUUCCUUUAUCCUCAGAAGAAGCUUUAUGUCCUUGAGCUUGUGAGUCAGCAUGGGUUUGUGAACCAGGUUUGUGAAGCAGGUCCCUGAAAACCGACGGUGGCAGAUGAGAGUGUUAUGAGGACACCUGGGAUCUGAUAUGACAGCUGUAAUAGCAUUAGAGUGUGAGAAUGACCGACGGUAUGAAGCCCUGAAUUAGGUCAUGACAAAUGCCUGAAAUGGAAACAUGGAGAUUAUUCAGCAGCCACCCAUGCACUGAUGAUGUAUGGCUAUGAAUAUACUUCCCUUAUUCUACACAGAAGGAAUAUGCAUGUGUGAAUCACACUGAUUAUACUCUACAGUAAUUCCGAUCAGUUAUCUAUGGCUGGGACUCUUCUCCCAUACACAAAGAACAGAUGUGUGUCAGCUGAAGUUCCACAUGACCAUGGGUCUCCAUGGUGUCAGUGUUGCCCUCUCAUGUCAUGGAAUCUAUCAUGCGGGGACAGAGGAAAGAGCCUGACUUGGCACACAAGUAUCUGUGGAGGGAUGGGUAAGAUUCCUCACAGACCAAAUGAAUGCAUAAAAAUAAAUUUAUUACAGCGGGAAGUACAGGUUGUUUAAGUAUAUGUUAAUGAGAGGAACGGGCCAAAAUGAAUUCCCAAGACUUGUGCUGUCCCAACCUGCCAGUUUGGAAGCCUUUGUGCUCAAAGCAAAUCAGUGUCUUUUCAUGCUAUUUAUUUAAUUUUUUUGGCAAGUGUCUGCUAAGCCCAGCCAAAAUUUCAAAAUGCUGAUUCAUGUCAAGAUAUGGAUAAUGAGAACAAUAAGAAACUGACAACUUCCAUCAGUGAUGGAACUGUGUGCAGUUGUUUUUAAGCGGAGCUGUCAUAAAUUACCAGUUAAAUGCAGGUACUAAUUAUGUCUUUCAUAAGCA
rnacentral:lncRNA from 1 species